rnacentral:tRNA from 1 species
GUCCCGGUAGGGUAGAGGAUAUCCUAGAAGCCUGCGGAGCUUUUGACUGGGGUUCGAAUCCCCAUCGGGACG